rnacentral:lncRNA from 1 species
CGGAGGCCUGCGGCAGAGUCGCCUAAGCAUUUGAAUGGACCUCAGCCCUAGGACCCUGGCGCCCUCGGAAACCGGAUCUGAGGUCCGGAUCACUAACGUUCAGAGAUGCAAGGGAAGCCGAGAAGUUGCCGAAAGGGCCUGAGAGCUGCUUCUCCUUCUCCCUGGGCAGCAAACCUCCAAGCCUGUGCGGGCCAAUCUUUGCAUCCUGGUAACCAGCGCUUUAUUUAGCGCCUAAUCGCUUUCCUGUCCUGCAAUGGAGACUGAGGGCAGAGGAGAGUGCAGCUUAUCCAAGAUCUCAAGGCUAGUAAUUGGUGAGAAAAUUCUGCACAGAACCAUUCCCAGUGGUGAGACUGUUUUUGUCCUUCAGCCCGGGAAAGGCAGACCUGGCUCCCUCCUUUUAUUUGCAAGCCUCAAAACCAUCAAGACAGGCAAAGGAAUACAUCACAGAAACCUCAGAUACCGCCUCUGUAAAUAGGGUUAAAGAUGCCCCACUCCAAAAAUGGUUGCAAGCUCAACACGGCUCCUUUCCAGACACUCGAAGGGCGCGGACCUUCGCUGAGACGCCACCCACGCAAGUGGAGGAAGCACUUGCGCCACUGCUGAGCGGUUGGAAGGGGAACACUGCAGCGAUGACCCACGAGUGUCAACGAGACCAGGUGCCCAUUAGGGAAACAGAGAUGGAGAAGAAAUCACGCGCCAAGGUCUGAAAUUCGGCGUGGCUCUCACUCGACAUCUCCCCAUUCUCGCCACCCGUGCACCCGCCUGCAGCGGCGCACCGGGCUCGGUGCUGCACCUGCCUCCUGGCGCCUGCGCCACUGCCCCCGCGCGGGUCCCACCGCGCAGGACGCCCCUUCCUGCUUCCGACGUCUGCUGUGGAUCACACGCGGUCGCUGCCAAAGCCUCCAUUUCGGUUCUGACCCAGUGACUUUGGGGACGCCCAGGGAGGAGAUGUGGAGAGGAUGUGGCCAAGGUGAACCAGCCAGUGUAAGUGCUAAUGCUUCUGGCUUCUCGGUAACACCUACCCUGCCCCACCACCCAAAUCGGGCCUUGAUCAAAAAAGAAGCGUCUUGACAAUACAUUUUUAGACAUAAAUAAGUUGAAGGUGCCCACGGAGGGAGGUUGAAAACAUUUGAUUAUCAGGACAGAGUAGAAGCCUGUUUGGCUCAUCCUUUUGGCCAGCUCUAAAGCAGCAGUGGACACUUCUUUGCGAUUUUGCAAGGAUGUUUGUGAAUGUACUUUGUAACUCCUAGAAAAUAGGCAAAAAACCGUGAGUGGAUGUAGUCGCACCGCUGGCACCUGUAAGAACGCGCCCUAAAGCUGUGGAACUGCUAUUCAGGUUCCAGGCACACGUCUCAAGCCUCAAACCUCCAAGAGUUGCCUUAGCUGCUCAUUUUACUGGUAAGAAGACGGAGGUCAAGCCUGAAGAUAGUGGCUCUGCUGUUUUCUUAGGCUGCUUGAAGCUUUAGAUAAGCAGGAAAAUUCCAUCAAAGAAAUCCCUGUAUGUAAAUUGGGAGAAAAAGAUAUGAUGAAUAUUAAUGCAGAGGCCUCUGAACAAAUGGAACCUCCAUUUUCACAUCCAGCACAGGAUCAUUUGCAGCCAGACAACCUGAGAGUCAACCCCAACUCUACCUUUUACUAAUUGCAUGAUAUUGGGCCUCAGUUUGCUCAUCUGUAAAUUGGGUGCAGUGAUAGAAUCUAUCCCACAGGGUUUUGCUGAGCAUUAAAUGAGUUUAAACUUGUAGAUGGCUUAGAAUAAUGCCUGGCAUGUAGCAAGUACGCAGUUACUGGCGCCUGGUGUAUAUAGUAAGUACUCGAUAUACAUUAACUAUUUUUCAAAGACACCACAGCUCACCUGGGAAGGAAUCUCAGGUAUUUGCCUGAGAUUCAAGCAAACAAAUAUGGAAGCUACCAAAGGCUCAUGAAGCCUGAAGGAUCCUUGCAGAGAGAUGUUCUAAAUGUUGCCUAGAAAGGCAGUUUGGAGGGAGGCCUCUCCAGUCAGAGGUCUGGAUGCUAAGUUUAGCUCUGCCACAUAUUAGCCAGGUAAUUUUGAAGUAAUAAACAAUCUCUUUGUGCCUCCAUUUCUUCUUGUGUAAAAUGAGGGGCUGUUGUGAAGAUUAAAUAAAUACAUGUAAAGCAUUUAAAGCCAGACCUGGCAGAAAGGGUGCUUUAUGUUUGCUUUAAAAAUAUAUAUGUACAACAUU